UCAAGUUGUUCAACAAAAAGAUGCGUCGCAGAUCUCAGAAACUGGGUUUUCACAAUUACAUCAGUCCGGAGUGUUGCACAUUAAGAAGGCUGCAACUCAGAGUGAUGUUAAUUCGGUUCACAUGUCUCAAGCUUCUACAGGUUUUUUAGGGUGUUGAGAGCAUGUCCCAUCGAGCAACCUAACCAGCACACAUAUAAAAGUCUCGGAUGAAGGGAAGAGGUGCACACCCGGAAUAUGUCAAUGUCAUGCUUUUUUAGGCCCCUGAUUAGAUGACAAGAGUGCACCAUUCUGUGGCUCGCUUUCAUGGCUGGAGGCGAGCGCAUGUGAGCUGGUACCAAGCAUGGCACCCCAUGUAGAAGUUGUCGCUGCUUUCAUGGCUGCGAAAGCUGAUAAUAUGCACAUAAGGAUAAGAGGCUGACAA